rnacentral:rRNA from 1 species
GACGAACGCUGGCGGCGUGCUUAACACAUGCAAGUCGAACGGAAAGGCCCUGCUUUUGUGGGGUGCUCGAGUGGCGAACGGGUGAGUAACACGUGAGUAACCUGCCCUUCAUUUUGGUAUAAGUUCAGGAAGCUGGGCUUAAUCCCGUACAGGAGACCCUCUUCCAUGGUGGGCGUGGGAACUUCUCGGCGGUUGGGGUUGGACUCGCGGCUUACCGGCUUGUUGGUGGGGUAGUGGCAUACCAAGGCUUUGACGGGUAGCCGGCCUGAGAGGGUGACCGGCCACAUUGGGACUGAGAUACGGCCCAGACUCGUACGGGAGGCAGCAGUGGGGAAUAUUGCACAAUGGGCGGACGCCUGAGGCAGCAACGCCGCGUGCGGGAUGACGGCCUUCGGGUUGUAAACCGCUUUCGCCUGUGACGAAGCGUGAGUGACGGUAAUGGGUAAAGAAGCACCGGCUAACUACGUG